rnacentral:rRNA from 1 species
AUGAGCACCUCUCUUCGCGCCUUGCUCUCCUUCCUCCCCUUCUUGCUCCUGACGAACACCUCGUACCUCGCCUUGGCCUCCUCCCGCUCUCUCUCGCCUCCCCUCCUUCGGCCCUCCAUUGCCGCGGCCAGAAGCCGGAGGGCACCCUCGCCGCUCACCGCCGCGCCUUCGGCGUUCUCCGCGGCGAGGCUGACCUCGCUGACGUGUCCAACCUCCUCGGAGCAGGCCACGGUGGUCUUGAAGUUGCACCCGCCCAGCACCAUCGCGAACUGCACCGGCGUCUCGCCGAUGUACCAGUGCCGGCCCAAGGCCACCGCCCCCCGGCUCGACACGUUCACCGCCCAGCCACGGGCGGGGUCGAUGACCACCCAGCUCAGCUCGAGCUCCGCCAGAGAGAACGCCGCUGCCACUGGAGCCGACUACUUGCAGUCCACGACCUCGACGCGGAACGGCGAGCUGAGGAACCACGACGACGACGCGGGCGUGUCCACCACGCGGGACAGCACGGGCGCGCCCCUGUAG